GGGUUGUGAGGUUAAGCGACUAAGCGUACACGGUGGAUGCCCUGGCAGUCAGAGGCGAUGAAGGACGUGCUAAUCUGCGAAAAGCGCCGGCGAGGUGAUAUGAACCUUUGACCCGGCGAUGUCCGAAUGGGGAAACCCAGUGUGUUCCGACACACUAUCGUUAACUGAAUACAUAGGUUAACGAGGCGAACCGGGGGAACUGAAACAUCUAAGUACCCCGAGGAAAAGAAAUCAACCGAGAUUCCCCCAGUAGCGGCGAGCGAACGGGGAGCAGCCCGGAGUCUGAAUCAGCUUGUGUGUUAGUGGAACGGUCUGGAAAGUCCGACGGUACAGGGUGAUAGUCCCGUACACGAAAAUGCACAGGUUGUGAACUCGAAGAGUAGGGCGGGACACGUGGUAUCCUGUCUGAAUAUGGGGGGACCAUCCUCCAAGGCUAAAUACUCCUGACUGACCGAUAGUGAACCAGUACCGUGAGGGAAAGGCGAAAAGAACCCCGGCGAGGGGAGUGAAAAAGAACCUGAAACCGUGUACGUACAAGCAGUGGGAGCACCUUCGUGGUGUGACUGCGUACCUUUUGUAUAAUGGGUCAGCGACUUAUAUUCUGUAGCAAGGUUAACCGUAUAGGGGAGCCGAAGGGAAACCGAGUCUUAACUGGGCGUUAAGUUGCAGGGUAUAGACCCGAAACCCGGUGAUCAGCCAUGGGCAGGUUGAAGGUUGGGUAACACUAACUGGAGGACCGAACCGACUAAUGUUGAAAAAUUAGCGGAUGACCUGUGGCUGGGGUGAAAGGCCAAUCAAACCGGGAGAUAGCUGGUUCUCCCGAAAGCUAUUUAGGUAGCGCCUCGUGAACUCAUCUUCGGGGUAGAGCACUGUUUCGGCUAGGGGCCAUCCCGGCUUACCAACCCGAUGCAAACUACGAAUACCGAAGAAUGUUAUCACGGGAGACACACGGCGGGUGCUAACGUCCGUCGUGAAGAGGGAAACAACCCAGACCGCCAGCUAAGGUCCCAAAGUCAUGGUUAAGUGGGAAACGAUGUGGGAAGGCACAGACAGCCGGGAUGUUGGCUUAGAAGCAGCCAUCAUUUAAAGAAAGCGUAAUAGCUCACUGGUCGAGUCGGCCUGCGCGGAAGAUGUAACGGGGCUAAACCAUGCACCGAAGCUGCGGCAGCGACACUAUGUGUUGUUGGGUAGGGGAGCGUUCUGUAAGCCGUUGAAGGUGUGCUGUGAGGCAUGCUGGAGGUAUCAGAAGUGCGAAUGCUGACAUAAGUAACGAUAAAGCGGGUGAAAAGCCCGCUCGCCGGAAGACCAAGGGUUCCUGUCCAACGUUAAUCGGGGCAGGGUGAGUCGACCCUAAGGCGAGGCCGAAAGGCGUAGUCGAUGGGAAACAGGUUAAUAUUCCUGUACUUGGUGUUACUGCGAAGGGGGACGGAGAAGGCUAUGUCAGCCGGGCGACGGUUGUCCCGGUUUAAGCAUGUAGGCGGAGGUUCCGGUAAAUCCGGUACCUUGUUAACGCUGAGGUGUGAUGACGAGGCACUACGGUGCUGAAGUGAUAAAUGCCCUGCUUCCGUGAAAAGCCUCUAAGCAUCAGGUAACACGAAAUCGUACCCCAAACCGACACAGGUGGUCAGGUAGAGAAUACCAAGGCGCUUGAGAGAACUCGGGUGAAGGAACUAGGCAAAAUGGUGCCGUAACUUCGGGAGAAGGCACGCUGAUAGGUAGGUGAAGCCCCUGCGGGCGGAGCUGAAAUCAGUCGAAGAUACCAGCUGGCUGCAACUGUUUAUUAAAAACACAGCACUGUGCAAACACGAAAGUGGACGUAUACGGUGUGACGCCUGCCCGGUGCCGGAAGGUUAAUUGAUGGGGUUAGCGGCAACGCGAAGCUCUUGAUCGAAGCCCGGUAAACGGCGGCCGUAACUAUAACGGUCCUAAGGUAGCGAAAUUCCUUGUCGGGUAAGUUCCGACCUGCACGAAUGGCGUAAUGAUGGCGGGCUGUCUCCACCCGAGACUCAGUGAAAUUGAACUCGCUGUGAAGAUGCAGUGUACCCGCGGCAAGACGGAAAGACCCGUGAACCUUUACUAUAGCUUGACACUGAACACUGGUCCUUGAUGUGUAGGAUAGGUGGGAGGCUUUGAAGCGUGGACGCCAGUCUGCGUGGAGCCAUCCUUGAAAUACCACCCUUUAAUGGCUGGUGUUCUAACGUAGACCCGUGAUCCGGGUUGCGGACAGUGUCUGGUGGGUAGUUUGACUGGGGCGGUCUCCUCCCAAAGAGUAACGGAGGAGCACGAAGGUUGGCUAAUCUGGUCGGACAUCAGGAGGUUAGUGCAAUGGCAUAAGCCAGCUUGACUGCGAGCGUGACGGCGCGAGCAGGUGCGAAAGCAGGUCAUAGUGAUCCGGUGGUUCUGAAUGGAAGGGCCAUCGCUCAACGGAUAAAAGGUACUCCGGGGAUAACAGGCUGAUACCGCCCAAGAGUUCAUAUCGACGGCGGUGUUUGGCACCUCGAUGUCGGCUCAUCACAUCCCGGGCUGAAGUAGGUCCCAAGGGUAUGGCUGUUCGCCAUUUAAAGUGGUACGCGAGCUGGGUUUAGAACGUCGUGAGACAGUUCGGUCCCUAUCUGCCGUGGGCGCUGGAGAAUUGAGGGGCUGCUCCUAGUACGAGAGGACCGGAGUGGACGCAUCACUGGUGUUCGGGUUGUCAUGCCAAUGGCACUGCCCGGUAGCUAAAUGCGGAAGAGAUAAGUGCUGAAAGCAUCUAAGCACGAAACUUGCCCCGAGAUGAGUUCUCCCUGAGACCUUGAGUCUCCUGAAGGAACGUUGAAGACGACGACGUUGAUAGGUCGGGUGUGUAAGCGCAGCGAUGCGUUGAGCUAACCGAUACUAAUGAACCGUGAGGCUUAACCUUACAACGCCGAAGCUGUU
rnacentral:rRNA from 1 species